rnacentral:ncRNA from 2 species
CAAUAUAAUAUUUUAAUAGGUGUCGAUUGUAAUCAGAAGUAUUAUAAAUCGGUGAAAAGGGGAAGAUGGGUGAAAGUCCCACGCGGUCCCGCCGCUGUAAGAGAGGAGUCCCUCUGAGAAUGCCACUGAAUGAUCGGGAAGGCAAGAGGUGAUGAUGAUGCUUGAGCCAGAAUACCUGCCUGUUUUAAUACCUGUUG